AGUUCGAUUAUGGCUCAGAUUGAACGCUGGCGGGAUGCUUUACAUGCAAGUCGAACGGCAGCACGGACUUCGGUCUGGUGAGUGGCGAACGGGUGAGUAAUGUAUCCGGAACGUGCCUAGUAGCGGGGGAUAACUACCUGCGAAAGCGUAGCUAAUACCGCAUACCCUUCGGGGAAAGCGGGGACCUUCCGGGCCUCUCACUGUGAAACGGCCGAUAUCGGAUUAGCUAGUUGGUGGGGUAACGGCUCACAGGCGACGAUCCGUAGCUGGUUUGAGAGGACGACCAGCCACUGGGACUGAGACACGGCCCAGACUCCUACGGGAGGCAGCCGGUGGGGAAUUUUGGACAAUGGAAACCCUGAUCCAGCCAUCCCGCGUGUGCGAUGAAGGCCUUCCGGGUUGUAAAAGCACUUUUGGCAGGAAAGAAACGGCACGGGAUAAUACCCCGUGCAACUGACCGGUACCUGCAAGAGACGGCACCGGCUAACUGAUGCCAGCAGCCGCGGUAAUACGUGCGAAGGGUACAAGCGUUAAUCGGAAUUACUGGGCGUAAAGCGUGCGCAGGUUCGGAAGAAAGAUGUAAAAUCCCAGAGCUUAACUUUGGAACUGCAUUUUUAACUACCGAGCUAGAGUGUGUCAGAGGAGGUGGAAUUCCGCGUGUAGCAGUGAAAUGCGUAGAUAUGCGGAGGAACACCGAUGGCGAAGGCAGCCUCCUGGGAUAACACUGACGCUCAUUGCACGAAAGCGUGGGGAGCAAACAGGAUUAAGAUACCCUGGUAGUCCACGCCUAAAGCGAUGUCAACUAGCUGUUGGGGCCUUCGGGCCUUGGUAGCGCAGCUAACGCGUGGGGAAGUUGACCGCCUGCAAACAGGAGUACAGUCGCAAGAUUAAAACUCAAAGGAAUUGACGGGGACCCGCACAAGCGGUGGAUGAUGUGGAUUAAUUCGAUGCAACGCGAAAACCUUACCUACCCUUGACAUGUCUGGAAUCCGAAGAGAUUUGGGAGUGCUCGCAAGGAGAACCGGAACACAGGUGCUGCAUGGCUGUCGUCAGCUCGUGUCGUGAGAUGUUGGGUUAAGUCCCGCAACGAGCGCAACCCUUGUCGUGGAUUGCUACGAAGGGCACUCUAAUGAGACUGCCGGUGACAAACCGGAGGAAGGUGGGGAUGACGUCAGGUCCUCAUGGCCCUUAUGGGUAGGGCUUCACACGUCAUACAAUGGUCGGGACAGAGGGUCGCCAACCCACGCGAGGGGGAGCCAAUCCCAGAAACCCGAUCGUAGUCCGGAUCGCAGUCUGCAACUCGACUGCGUGAAGUCGGAAUCGCUAGUAAUCGCGGAUCAGCAUGUCGCGGUGAAUACGUUCGGGUCUUGUACACACCGCCCAUCACACCAUGGGAGUGGGUUUUGCCAAGUAGUUAGCCUAACCGUAAGGAGGGCGAUUACCACGGUAAGGAUUCAUGACUGGGGGUGAAGUCGUAACAAGGUAG
rnacentral:rRNA from 1 species